CACACGACCGUACCGCAAACCGACACUGGUGCGCGCGAUGAGUAUUCUAAGGCGCUUGAGAGAACUCAGGAGAAGGAACUCGGCAAAUUGACACCGUAACUUCGGUAGAAGGUGUGCCUUUAGUAGGUGAACCAUUUACUUGGGGAGCCCAAUGAGGCUGCAAAAAAUCGGUGGCUGCAACUGUUUAUUAAAAACACAGCACUCUGCUAAGACGAAAGUCGACGUAUAGGGUGUGACGCCUGCCCGGUGCUGGAAGAUUAAAUGAUGGGGUGCAAGCUCUUGAUUGAAGUCCCAGUAAACGGCGGCCGUAACUAUAACGGUCCUAAGGUAGCGAAAUUCCUUGUCGGGUAAGUUCCGACCUGCACGAAUGGCGUAAUGAUGGCCACACUGUCUCCUCCUGAGACUCAGCGAAGUUGAAAUGUUUGUGAUGAUGCAAUCUCCCCGCGGAAAGACGGAAAGACCCCAUGAACCUUUACUGUAGCUUUGUAUUGGACUUUGAACAGAUCUGUGUAGGAUAGGUGGGAGGCUUCGAAGUGUGGUCGCUAGAUCGCAUGGAGCCAACGUUGAAAUACCACCCUGGUGUGUUUGAGGUUCUAACCUAGGUCCAUUAUCUGGAUCGGGGACAGUGCAUGGUAGGCAGUUUGACUGGGGCGGUCUCCUCCCAAAGUGUAACGGAGGAGUUCGAAGGUACGCUAGGUACGGUCGGACAUCGUGCUAAUAGUGCAAUGGCAUAAGCGUGCUUAACUGCGAGACUGACAAGUCGAGCAGAUGCGAAAGCAGGACAUAGUGAUCCGGUGGUUCUGUAUGGAAGGGCCAUCGCUCAACGGAUAAAAGGUACUCUGGGGAUAACAGGCUGAUACCGCCCAAGAGUUCAUAUCGACGGCGGUGUUUGGCACCUCGAUGUCGGCUCAUCUCAUCCUGGGGCUGUAGCCGGUCCCAAGGGUAUGGCUGUUCGCCAUUUAAAGAGGUACGUGAGCUGGGUUUAAAACGUCGUGAGACAGUUUGGUCCCUAUCUUCCGUGGGCGCUGCAGAUUUGAGGAAGCCUGCUCCUAGUACGAGAGGACCGGAGUGGACGAACCUCUGGUGUAUCGGUUGUCACGCCAGUGGCAUUGCCGAGUAGCUAAGUUCGGAAGAGAUAACCGCUGAAGGCAUCUAAGCGGGAAACUCGUUUCAAGAUUAGAUCUGCCGGGGCCUUGAGCCCCCUAAAGAGUCGUUCAAGACCAGGACGUUGAUAGGUCAGGUGUGGAAGC
rnacentral:rRNA from 1 species